AUACCAAAUAUCUCCCCCACCCCCCCACCCCCUCUCCCCUGGCUCCUCUCAGACUGAUCCCUGCCGUUACUCUGGGUUCGCAGCUGAAAGAAAAUACCAGACUUGUGCCACGCAAGAGAAUGGAUCUCCAGCUAGACGACCUCGGCUGGGGUGGGAGGGAGAGUGUGGCCACGCAGUUGCCUUUUACGAGAGAGUCUUCUGUUUCCCCUCUUAUCCCCGCACGAACGUGUAAGGAACGUGUAAGCAAGAAAGAAAAACAGUCCGGUUGCGCGUAAAAUCCAGAGGAUGAAAUGGUUCUGGCUCGCCCUCGAUGAGCGCAGGCUGCUGCGGGUCUCAGCCCCUCCGUGGAAUAGCUGCUCCAAACAAGUCGGCGUCUCACGCACAGAGAAAACGCGUAGCUGUACGGGUAAAGUGGCUGGGAGUGGCGGGUAAAAACCGGAGUGGAGUCAGCUCCAGUUCUCGAAGAACAAAACACGACAGAAGGAACGCAUACAGAUGUGCUUGUAUACUUCCAGCUCGGCAUCUCGGCAGAGGCGUUGUUUAGAUCCACGGAACAAAAUCCAAGUUCAUUUCAAGGCCCUUCACAAGAUAAACAACUAUAUAUAUCAACUCUGUCAGUCAGUCAUUUUCUACCGCUCUGACAACUCUGUCAGGAUUUCCUGAAUUUACGGCUGAAAUCACUAACUCCAAGUCUUUGUUAGUACAUCAUAAUCCUUUUUUAAACCACAUGUAUGUUAACUUAUUACUUGAGUUUGAAACCUGUAUAUGGGACAUUUGAAAUGUCCUGAACUUACAACAUUAUCUGUAUUACAGUGUGACAGCAGAUUUCUGGGAACAAUUCUUUAAGCUUUUUUUAUUUUUUUCCCUUUCAAGACCUCAGACUGUCUUUUAAUCUUUUGUAGUGGAUCCUUUUGUUGGAAUUUGAUCAGGAAUUUUACCCGUGUAUUGGCAUUUUGUCUCGCCCUUUUUCUAUUUUGUAACCCUGUGCUUAAACCAUUUUCUUUAGGUUUUCAAUUAACCCUGUGAGAAGUUGGCAUUUAAAUCUCACAUAUACUUUAAUUUAAUUGUAGAUUUCUGAAGGUUUAUACCCUGUUUUCAUUUAUUUUGGUUCUAAUCUCCGUUAGGACCCAUGAUCUCCUAUAUGAGAAAAAUGAGCCCUGAUCAAACCAAUAUUACUAGGAGGCCUCCUGCUCAUUGAUAUUUAAGAGAGUCACUUAACCACAUUUCCUAUGACAAAAUCACUGAAAAAUAAAGAAAAGUGCUUUAAAUCAGUUCAAUUUUGAUCACUGUCUACCACUUUUUUUUUAAAACAAAGGGGAGAAACCUACUGCGGGAUGUGCCGUACCAAACAUGCUCCGAUUCAUAUCCACCGUGUAAACAUUUCCCAGCUAACAGACUGAUUUACAGAUUGAUCGUUGCACUCUGGUCAUGCUCUACAGUAAGAAAUUGUUGGUAUGUGACUCAAAUAAAUUAUAUCUACCCAUAGAAGGACACUCAAAAAUAUUUUGGAUUAAUCAAGGGUCAUCUGACAUAUUUUAUAAGAGUAGACUGGCCGUCAGCAGAUGAGAAACCAGUGGAAAAUAAUAUGCAAUCAAUAAUUCACAAUCAACGUAAAUUAUUUUCAAGCUAGUGCCCCAGUACAGCUUUAUGCAUAGCAAAACCCCAGGUGUAUUGUGGUAAGAAGCAGAUCCCGCUAAUAUGAAUUACAAAAACAAAUUGUAGACUGGCUGCAUUUUUGUCCCUAAAGUGUUUGAUUAUUUAUUAUCUAACGCUGGUUUAACUCACAAAAUAACGUGAGAUUCAGGAUAUUCUCACCACAAUGAUUUAUUUGAUCAAAAGCCAGAGUAGUCAGGUUCAAGUGAACACAGUAAUAUUAUUAUUUACCGUACAUUAAUCAGAGGUAACUAAAAUGAGUGUUGCAUCUUUGUGUAGCUUUGCAAAUAGCCAAAUCAGCGUGUUCACCGUUAAUUUGCUGCAUGUUGUCCUUCAGCCACUGGACGUCUAGUUUGAGUCCAGGAAGCUAUGUGAGCAACAAAGAUAGUUAGGGAGAAAUGUUGGUAUGAUUAUUAGAGAUUAGUAGAAACUUCGGGCGGGGCAGUCCUCAUACACACUCCCUCCUAAAGUCAUUUCAGAACCACUAAUGAACCCAGCAUGGUUUUGGACAGUGGGAGGAAGCCCCACAGCCGCUACUGGCUGCGUAAUUUAAAACAGAAUACAUGGAGAAACUUGGAAGGGAGGUGGCAUUCCUCUAACUUAAAAUACGUUUAUUUGGUCUGUAAACAAAGCUCCUUAUAAAGACAGGACUGCGUUUGUUUCAUGAAUAACAGAACAAGGAACUCCCAGAAUCAAACCCAGCUAUAAUUGGCAGUCAGAAAUCUGUUUAUUCACGUAUUGUAAAGACAAUUUAAGGCCUUCUUUCAACUACUGCUUGUAAUACAACAUCAAGUAAAGCAUUUUUUUUAAAUAAUUGUAAAACCGAAUUUAAUUUGACUUUUUCUGGCCCGCUGAGCUGGAGUAAUAGUACCAGCAUCAAAUCACCUGGUCAGGUGGUGGGAGGAUUUUACUGUAUUGUGUGACAAUUACUACUUGUGGCACUGUAGAGUUUGUAUUCUCCAAAUCCUAAAUAUCACCAAAACUAAAGAUUUGUAUAGAUUUUAGAAAGACGCCAAGUGCACCACCUUUAACUUUCAUUAAAAGGUGACCAGUGGAGCACGUUCAAGUUAUAAGUAGUGUUAUGGGUCUUGUUAUUGAUAAUAAGCUGACAUUUAGUAAAAACUCUAAGGUCAGCAAAAAGAUCACGCUUGAAAGAUUGCACUUCCUCUGGACCAUUUAUUACAAUUCUGUCCUCAAAUUAACUUUUAUCACUUGGUUCAGCAACCUAUCAAAAGAAGAAAAAACAUAUCAUAAAACAAGUAGUAAAAGUGGCCGGCUUACUUAUCGAUCCAAGUGAUCUGGUCUAACACAAACAAUUUUAAAGAGACUCACACAAAAGGCAAAGGAUAUUUUCCACUCUCAUUAUCAACUACUUCAUGGCGAAUUGCAACCAUACUCAACUGGACAGUAUUGGAUUCAAUUUGACUGAAACUAUAGUGGCCUUCAUAGUGUCCCUAGAUGACUUUAGUUGUGAAUUUAUUUUAGGAAACUCUCUUAAAAAGUCAUAUUUAUCAUAUCCUGUAAUACCAGUAACUUUCUAGCUGUUAGAAAAGAUGAUUAAUUGUGUAAAAAAUAAACUCAUCUAAAAAGUCAA